rnacentral:siRNA from 1 species
UGAGUUCAGCCUUAUCCCUA